rnacentral:lncRNA from 10 species
GGGAAAUUAAGGCUCAGGGAGAGACCCGAGUUGCAGUGACCCACAGGACCAGGAUCCAAGCUCCCCACUGCACAAGCCAGAGCUGCCCUCCGUUAGAAGAGAUGAGAUUUCCAAAGCUCCCAGCCACUUGAGCAUUUCAGGCACAUUCUCCGUUAUUGACAGGCACUAAUGGGGUAAUGAACUAAAGAGACCUGAGUUCACCCAAUAAUUGCAGGAAUACACUACCUCUCCUUAAAUAAAGUCAAAGAGAAGAGAUAGCAUCAUGCUCCUGGGAAUCCAAAAUGAAUAAAAAGACACACCAAGAGAAGGUAUAUGGUAUAUUCCUUAAAACUACACAAAUCUGUGGAAAUGAGACUGAAUCCCUCAAUCAGUAUGAAGAUAUGGACUCUGGGUGUGAUGAUUACAAAGGUGGGU